rnacentral:rRNA from 1 species
UACCAUGCAGUCGAGCGGAGAUGCAGAUGUUUACAUUGAGCAUUCUUAGCGGCGGACGGGUGAGUAACACGUGGGUAACCUGCCUCAGAGUGGGGAUAGCCUUUCGAAAGGAAGAUUAAUACCGCAUAAGCUUGUAGCAUCGCAUGGUGCAGCAAGAUUAGGAGCAAUCCGCUCUGAGAUGGACCCGCGGCGCAUUAGCUAGUUGGUGAGGUAACGGCUCACCAAGGCCACGAUGCGUAGCCGACCUGAGAGGGUGAUCGGCCACAUUGGAACUGAGACACGGUCCAGACUCCUACGGGAGGCAGCAGUGGGGAAUAUUGCACAAUGGGCGAAAGCCUGAUGCAGCAACGCCGCGUGAGUGAUGAAGGGCUUUCGAGUCGUAAAGCUCUUUGAUCAGGGGAUGAUAAUGACAGUACCCUGAAAAACAAGGC